AUUUGAAUAGUUUAUUUAAAAUAUCGAUUUGUGGUAUCGAAGAAAUUAAUUUUAAUUUCAAAUA
rnacentral:tRNA from 1 species